AAGCAAUGCUGUGUGGAAUACUUUCACAAUGGAUAAGACAUUCUAUAAGUAUGUGGAUGUUAGUUUGAGGAGCAACAUUGUGUGUAAGGAAGGCAAAUCCAAAUCCAGAGUAAACGUCUGUUCCAGUGAGAACAAAAGGCUGCCCCUUCCAUGAUGGAAGUGGUCCAAAGUAAUCUUCCUGCCGCCAGGUAGCUGGCCGAUCAUCCUGGGGAAUGGUGCCAUAUCAGGGAUUUAGCGUUGGUCUCUGCUGUUGGCAGAUUGGGCACUCAGCGGUGGCUGUAGCCAGGUUGGCCUUGGUAAAUACAAGAACAUUUUUCUGAGCUCAUGCAUAACCUCCAUCCCUACCACCAUGGCAACAUUGUUUAGGAGCACGUUGGGUGAUAACAGGCCUGGCUGGAGAAAGAGGCGUACCGAAUGGGUCAUCCUGUCAACUUUGAUUAUUAAAAUUCUCCUCUGCUAAGGUCAUUCUUGGGUGAGCAUUCACAAGGGAUACAAAUAUCUUCACCUUUUUUGACCCAUUCAGAAAAGUCAAUCCACAUACCUCUUCCCCAAAUCUUUAUCACCAGUUUUCCAAUCUUGUUUCCAAGUUCCUGGCCAUCCAAAACCAUUGGUGAUAGCCUAUGAAUCAGUACACACUUUCACGUCUGUCCAUUUAUCCUUCCAAGGAAAGUGAACAGACAGGUGCACGGCUUGAAGUUCUGCCAUUAAUAGGAUUUCCCUUCCCCAGUGUCCUUCACAGAUGUUCCAGAAAGGGGCUGUAGAGCUUCAGCUGUCCUCUUUCAGGGAAGGAGAAAAAAAGGCAUUUUCCAGAUCAACAGUGGGAUACCAGUUACCAGAGAAUAUGUUGUCUAUCUCCAACAAUGAAACCACAUCUGGUACUCCAGCUGCAAUUGGAGUCACCACCUGGUUAAGCUUAUGAUAAACUACUGUCAUUCUCCAAGAUCCAUUUAUCUUCUGAACAAGCCAAAUAGGGGAGUUGAAUGGGAAUGCGGUGGGAAUCAACGCCCCUGUAAUCAUUCCUAAGGAGAAUUACAAUGAAAAUUGAACUCCCAGCUUGGAAGAGUGUUUACUUUUAAGUGAGAGCAUUGACUGGGAAAGAAUAGUAUCUUGUAAAUUAGGAUGGUGACAUAUGGGAAAACUGAUGAAGCUGGAGACUGGAAGUCAAGAGGCCACUUCUACUGGCAAAGAAGUCCCAUUCCCACACGUGUCCUCAGCUUGCAAUUUACCUAGCCACAGGAUGAGAUUCUGUGUUUGAUUUUCAGCAAUCUCAGACUUGCUGCUAUAGGAGAUAAGAGUCUCUCUCAGGCCACACAAAGAAGGCUUGAGGUCAAUUUUUAUGGUUCUUGUGCUGGGAAUUCAAAUUUCCAGGCUCAUUCUUUCCUUUCACCACUUUGUCCAAGGACAUUAG
rnacentral:lncRNA from 1 species